CCUACGGGUGGCAGCAGUGGGGAAUAUUGGGCAAUGGACGCAAGCCUGAACCAGCAACGCCGCGUGCAGGAAGAAGGCUUUCGGGUUGUAAACUUCUUUUAUCAGGGGCGAAGCAAGUGACGGUACCUGAUGAAUAAGCCACGCCUAACUACGUGCCAGCAGCCACGGUAAUACGUAGGUGGCAAGCGUUAUCCGGAUUUACUGGGUGUAAAGAGCGUGUUGGCGGUAGUGCAAGUCAGGUGUGAAAACUAGGGGCUCAACCCAUAGCCUGCAUUUGAAACUGUACUUCUUGAGUGCUGGGGAGGUAAGCGGAAUGCCGGGUGUAGCGGUGAAAUGCGUAGAGAUACGGAGGAACACCAGUGGCGAAGGCGGAUUGCUGGACAGUAACUGACGCUGAGGCGCGAAAGCGUGGGGAGCAAACAGGAUUAGAUACCCUGGUAGUC
rnacentral:rRNA from 1 species